GCAUAUCAUAAGCGGAGGAAAAGAAACCAACAGGGAUUGCCCCAGUAACGGCGAGUGAAGCGGCAACAGCUCAAAUUUGAAAUCUGGCCCCAGGCCCGAGUUGUAAUUUGCAGAGGAUGCUUCGGGCGCGGUGCCUUCCAAGUCCCCUGGAACGGGGCGCCAUGGAGGGUGAGAGCCCCGUAUGGUCGGACGCCAAGCCUAUGUGAAGCUCCUUCGACGAGUCGAGUAGUUUGGGAAUGCUGCUCUAAAUGGGAGGUAGACCCCUUCUAAAGCUAAAUACCGGCUAGAGACCGAUAGCGCACAAGUAGAGUGAUCGAAAGAUGAAAAGAACUUUGAAAAGAGGGUUAAACAGCACGUGAAAUUGUUAAAAGGGAAGCGCUUGUGACCAGACUUGCGCCGGGGCGAUCAUCUGGCGUUCUCGCCGGUGCACUCGCCCCGGCCCAGGCCAGCGUCGGUUCGGGAGGGGGGACAAGGACGUUGGGGAUGUGGCUCCCCCGGGAGUGUUAUAGCCCAGCGUGUCAUGCCCCCGCCCGGACCGAGGUUCGCGCUCUGCAAGGACGCUGGCGUAAUGGUCAUCAGCGGCCCGUCUUGAAACACGGACCAAGGAGUCGAGGUUCUGCGCGAGUGUUUGGGUGCCAAACCCGCACGCGUAAUGAAAGUGAACGUAGGUGGGAGCCUCGGCGCACCACCGACCGAUCCUGAUGUUUUCGGAUGGAUUUGAGUACGAGCGUUGGGCCUCGGACCCGAAAGAUGGUGAACUAUGCUUGGAUAGGGUGAAGCCAGAGGAAACUCUGGUGGAGGCUCGCAGCGGUUCUGACGUGCAAAUCGAUCGUCAAAUCUGAGCAUGGGGGCGAAAGACUAAUCGAACCAUCUAGUAGCUGGUUACCGCCGAAG
rnacentral:rRNA from 1 species